UACGUAGGGUGCAAGCGUUAUCCGGAAUUAUUGGGCGUAAAGAGCUCGUAGGCGGUUUGUCGCGUCUGCUGUGAAAACUGGAGGCUCAACCUCCAGCCUGCAGUGGGUACGGGCAGACUAGAGUGCGGUAGGGGAGAUUGGAAUUCCUGGUGUAGCGGUGAAAUGCGCAGAUAUCAGGAGGAACACCGGUGGCGAAGGCGGGUCUCUGGGCCGUAACUGACGCUGAGGAGCGAAAGCAUGGGGGAGCGAACAGG
rnacentral:rRNA from 1 species